GAUGAACGCUGGCGGCGUGCCUAACACAUGCAAGUCGAACGGAGUUCUUAAGGAAUGCGACUUCGGUCAAAUGACUUUUGAACUUAGUGGCGGACGGGUGAGUAACGCGUGAGCAACCUGCCUUUCAGAGGGGGAUAACAUUUGGAAACAGAUGCUAAUACCGCAUAAGAUUACAGUACCGCAUGAUACAGUGAUCAAAGGAGCAAUCCGCUGAAAGAUGGGCUCGCGUCCGAUUAGAUAGUUGGUGAGGUAACGGCUCACCAAGUCGACGAUCGGUAGCCGGACUGAGAGGUUGAACGGCCACAUUGGGACUGAGACACGGCCCAGACUCCUACGGGAGGCAGCAGUGGGGAAUAUUGCACAAUGGGCGAAAGCCUGAUGCAGCAACGCCGCGUGAGGGAAGACGGUUUUCGGAUUGUAAACCUCUGUUUUCGGUGACGAACAAAUGACGGUAACCGAGUAGGAAGCCACGGCUAACUACGUGCCAGCAGCCGCGGUAAUACGUAGGUGGCAAGCGUUAUCCGGAAUUACUGGGUGUAAAGGGAGCGCAGGCGGGAUAGCAAGUCAGCUGUGAAAACUAUGGGCUCAACCCAUAAACUGCAGUUGAAACUGUUAUUCUUGAGUGGAGUAGAGGCAAGCGGAAUUCCGAGUGUAGCGGUGAAAUGCGUAGAUAUUCGGAGGAACACCAGUGGCGAAGGCGGCUUGCUGGGCUCUAACUGACGCUGAGGCUCGAAAGUGUGGGGAGCAAACAGGAUUAGAUACCCUGGCAGUCCACACUGUAAACGAG
rnacentral:rRNA from 1 species